UAGGGAAUCUUCCACAAUGGACGAAAGUCUGAUGGAGCAACGCCGCGUGAGUGAAGAAGGGUUUCGGCUCGUAAAACUCUGUUGUUAAAGAAGAACAUAUCUGAGAGUAACUGUGCAGGUAUUGACGGUAUUUAACCAGAAAGCCACGGCUAACUACGUGCCAG
rnacentral:rRNA from 1 species